GAUCAAGCGUCUUAAAGGGCAUCUGGUGGAUGCCUUGGCACAGAGAGGCGAUGAAGGACGUGGUACGCUGCGAUAUGCCAUGGGGAGCCGCGAACAGGCUUUGAUCCAUGGAUUUCCGAAUGGGGAAACCCCACCUUCGGGUGAUCCUGCACUGAAUACAUAGGUGCAGGAGGCGAACCGGGUGAACUGAAACAUCUCAGUAACCCGAGGAAAGGACAUCAACCGAGACUCCGCUAGUAGUGGCGAGCGAACGCGGACCAGGCCAGUGGCGAUAUUUUGAAAACCGGAACCGUCUGGAAAGUCGGGCCAUAGCGGGUGACAGCCCCGUACGGGUAGACCAGAGUAUCGUCCUCGAGUAGGGCGGGACACGUGAAAUCCUGUCUGAACAUGGGGGGACCACCCUCCAAGCCUAAGUACUCCUCUGUGACCGAUAGUGCACCAGUACCGUGAGGGAAAGGUGAAAAGCACCCCGACGAGGGGAGUGAAAGAGAACCUGAAACCUGAUGCCUACAAGCAGUCGGAGCCCUUCGGGGUGACGGCGUACCUUUUGUAUAAUGGGUCAGCGAGUUAGUGUAUGCAGCAAGCUUAAGCCGUUAGGUGUAGGCGCAGCGAAAGCGAGUCUGAAUAGGGCGAUUCAGUUGCAUGCAUUAGACCCGAAACCUGGUGAUCUAGCCAUGGUCAGGUUGAAGGUGGGGUAACACCCACUGGAGGACCGAACUCACGUCUGUUGAAAAAGACGGGGAUGAACUGUGGCUAGGGGUGAAAGGCCAAUCAAACCAGGAAAUAGCUGGUUCUCCGCGAAAGCUAUUGAGGUAGCGCCUCGGACGAAUACCCACGGGGGUAGAGCACUGGAUGGGCUAGGGGGUCCCAAAGACUUACCAAACCUAACCAAACUCCGAAUACCGUGGAGUAAUAUCCGGGAGACAGACGGCGGGUGCUAAGGUCCGUCGUCAAAAGGGAAAGAACCCAGACCGCCAGCUAAGGUCCCCAAAUCGUGGUUAAGUGUGAAAGGAUGUGGGAAGGCCAUAACAACCAGGAGGUUGGCUUAGAAGCAGCCAUCCUUUAAAGAAAGCGUAAUAGCUCACUGGUCUAAUAGCAGUCCUGCGCCGAAAAUGUAUCGGGGCUCAAACCACGUACCGAAGCUGCGGGUGCAACGCAAGUUGCGCGGUAGCGGAGCGUUCCGUAGGCCGUUGAAGGUGUGCCGCGAGGUAUGCUGGAGGUAUCGGAAGUGCGAAUGCUGACAUGAGUAGCGACAAACAGUGUGAGAAACACUGUCGCCGAAAGUCCAAGGGUUCCUGCGCAAGGUUAAUCCACGCAGGGUGAGCCGGUCCCUAAGGUGAGGCCGAAAGGCGUAAUCGAUGGGAAUGGGGUUAAUAUUCCCCAGCCUGCCGAAAGUGACGAUCCCAAAACGUUGUUCGAUCUUAUUGGAUUGAUCGGGCCGCUGGAGGGAUCCAGGAAAUAGCUUCGGCAUAUAGUCCGUACCCGAAACCGACACAGGUGGACUGGUAGAGCAUACCAAGGCGCUUGAGAGAACGAUGUUGAAGGAACUAGGCAAAUUGACCCCGUAACUUCGGAAGAAGGGGUACCCUUUCUCGGGCAACCGAGGGGGGGUGGCACAGACCAGGGGGUGGCGACUGUUUACUAAAAACACAGGGCUCUGCGAAGCCGCAAGGCGACGUAUAGGGUCUGACGCCUGCCCGGUGCCGGAAGGUUAAAAGGAGGUGUGCAAGCACCGAAUUGAAGCCCCGGUAAACGGCGGCCGUAACUAUAACGGUCCUAAGGUAGCGAA
rnacentral:rRNA from 1 species